rnacentral:rRNA from 1 species
GAUGAACGCUGGCGGCGUGCCUAAUACAUGCAAGUAGAACGCUGAAGGAGGAGCUUGCUCUUCUGGAUGAGUUGCGAACGGGUGAGUAACGCGUAGGUAACCUGCCUGGUAGCGGGGGAUAACUAUUGGAAACGAUAGCUAAUACCGCAUGACAACAGUUAUUGCAUGAUAACUGUUUAAAAGGGGCAACUGCUCCACUACCAGAUGGACCUGCGUUGUAUUAGCUAGUUGGUGAGGUAACGGCUCACCAAGGCGACGAUACAUAGCCGACCUGAGAGGGUGAUCGGCCACACUGGGACUGAGACACGGCCCAGACUCCUACGGGAGGCAGCAGUAGGGAAUCUUCGGCAAUGGACGGAAGUCUGACCGAGCAACGCCGCGUGAGUGAAGAAGGUUUUCGGAUCGUAAAGCUCUGUUGUAAGAGAAGAACGAGUGUGAGAGUGGAAAGUUCACACUGUGACGGUAUCUUACCGGAAAGGGACGGCGAACUACGU